rnacentral:rRNA from 1 species
GGGUUGUGAGGUUAAGCGACUAAGCGUACACGGUGGAUGCCCUGGCAGUCAGAGGCGAUGAAGGGCGUGCUAAUCUGCGAUAAGCGCCGGUAAGGUGAUAUGAACCGUUAUAACCGGCGAUACCCGAAUGGGGAAACCCAGUGUGACUCGUCACACUAUCAUUAACUGAAUCCAUAGGUUAAUGAGGCGAACCGGGGGAACUGAAACAUCUAAGUACCCCGAGGAAAAGAAAUCAACCGAGAUUCCCCCAGUAGCGGCGAGCGAACGGGGAGGAGCCCAGAGCCUGAAUCAGCAUGUGUGUUAGUGGAAGCGUCUGGAAAGGCGCGCGAUACAGGGUGACAGCCCCGUACACAAAAGCGCAUGUGCUGUGAGCUCGAUGAGUAGGGCGGGACACGUGGUAUCCUGUCUGAAUAUGGGGGGACCAUCCUCCAAGGCUAAAUACUCCUGACUGACCGAUAGUGAACCAGUACCGUGAGGGAAAGGCGAAAAGAACCCCGGCGAGGGGAGUGAAAAAGAACCUGAAACCGUGUACGUACAAGCAGUGGGAGCACAGGUUUACCUGUGUGACUGCGUACCUUUUGUAUAAUGGGUCAGCGACUUAUAUUCUGUAGCAAGGUUAACCGAAUAGGGGAGCCGGAGGGAAACCGAGUCUUAAUUGGGCGUUAAGUUGCAGGGUAUAGACCCGAAACCCGGUGAUCUAGCCAUGGGCAGGUUGAAGGUUGGGUAACACUAACUGGAGGACCGAACCGACUAAUGUUGAAAAAUUAGCGGAUGACCUGUGGCUGGGGGUGAAAGGCCAAUCAAACCGGGAGAUAGCUGGUUCUCCCCGAAAGCUAUUUAGGUAGCGCCUCGUGAAUUCAUCUCCGGGGGUAGAGCACUGUUUCGGCUAGGGGGCCAUCCCGGCUUACCAACCCGAUGCAAACUGCGAAUACCGGAGAAUGUUAUCACGGGAGACACACGGCGGGUGCUAACGUCCGUCGUGAAGAGGGAAACAACCCAGACCGCCAGCUAAGGUCCCAAAGUCAUGGUUAAGUGGGAAACGAUGUGGGAAGGCCCAGACAGCCAGGAUGUUGGCUUAGAAGCAGCCAUCAUUUAAAGAAAGCGUAAUAGCUCACUGGUCGAGUCGGCCUGCGCGGAAGAUGUAACGGGGCUAAACCAUGCACCGAAGCUGCGGCAGCGACACUGUGUGUUGUUGGGUAGGGGAGCGUUCUGUAAGCCUGCGAAGGUGUCCCGUGAGGGAUGCUGGAGGUAUCAGAAGUGCGAAUGCUGACAUAAGUAACGAUAAAGCGGGUGAAAAGCCCGCUCGCCGGAAGACCAAGGGUUCCUGUCCAACGUUAAUCGGGGCAGGGUGAGUCGACCCCUAAGGCGAGGCCGAAAGGCGUAGUCGAUGGGAAACGGGUUAAUAUUCCCGUACUUGGUGUUACUGCGAAGGGGGGACGGAGAAGGCUAUGUUGGCCGGGCGACGGUUGUCCCGGUUUAAGCGUGUAGGUGUGUGUUCCAGGUAAAUCCGGUUCACUUUAACACUGAGGCGUGACGACGAGGCACUACGGUGCUGAAGCAACAAAUGCCCUGCUUCCAGGAAAAGCCUCUAAGCAUCAGGUAACAUCAAAUCGUACCCCAAACCGACACAGGUGGUCAGGUAGAGAAUACCAAGGCGCUUGAGAGAACUCGGGUGAAGGAACUAGGCAAAAUGGUGCCGUAACUUCGGGAGAAGGCACGCUGACACGUAGGUGAAGUGAUUUACUCAUGGAGCUGAAGUCAGUCGAAGAUACCAGCUGGCUGCAACUGUUUAUUAAAAACACAGCACUGUGCAAACACGAAAGUGGACGUAUACGGUGUGACGCCUGCCCGGUGCCGGAAGGUUAAUUGAUGGGGUCAGCGCAAGCGAAGCUCCUGAUCGAAGCCCCGGUAAACGGCGGCCGUAACUAUAACGGUCCUAAGGUAGCGAAAUUCCUUGUCGGGUAAGUUCCGACCUGCACGAAUGGCGUAAUGAUGGCCAGGCUGUCUCCACCCGAGACUCAGUGAAAUUGAACUCGCUGUGAAGAUGCAGUGUACCCGCGGCAAGACGGAAAGACCCCGUGAACCUUUACUAUAGCUUGACACUGAACAUUGAGCCUUGAUGUGUAGGAUAGGUGGGAGGCUUUGAAGUGUGGACGCCAGUCUGCAUGGAGCCGACCUUGAAAUACCACCCUUUAAUGUUUGAUGUUCUAACGUGGACCCGUAAUCCGGGUUGCGGACAGUGUCUGGUGGGUAGUUUGACUGGGGCGGUCUCCUCCUAAAGAGUAACGGAGGAGCACGAAGGUUGGCUAAUCCUGGUCGGACAUCAGGAGGUUAGUGCAAUGGCAUAAGCCAGCUUGACUGCGAGCGUGACGGCGCGAGCAGGUGCGAAAGCAGGUCAUAGUGAUCCGGUGGUUCUGAAUGGAAGGGCCAUCGCUCAACGGAUAAAAGGUACUCCGGGGAUAACAGGCUGAUACCGCCCAAGAGUUCAUAUCGACGGCGGUGUUUGGCACCUCGAUGUCGGCUCAUCACAUCCUGGGGCUGAAGUAGGUCCCAAGGGUAUGGCUGUUCGCCAUUUAAAGUGGUACGCGAGCUGGGUUUAGAACGUCGUGAGACAGUUCGGUCCCUAUCUGCCGUGGGCGCUGGAGAACUGAGGGGGGCUGCUCCUAGUACGAGAGGACCGGAGUGGACGCAUCACUGGUGUUCGGGUUGUCAUGCCAAUGGCACUGCCCGGUAGCUAAAUGCGGAAGAGAUAAGUGCUGAAAGCAUCUAAGCACGAAACUUGCCCCGAGAUGAGUUCUCCCUGAGACUUAGAGUCUCCUGAAGGAACGUUGAAGACGACGACGUUGAUAGGCCGGGUGUGUAAGCGCAGCGAUGCGUUGAGCUAACCGGUACUAAUGAACCGUGAGGCUUAACCUUACAACGCCGAAG